rnacentral:hammerhead_ribozyme from 1 species
AUCAAGCUGACGAGCCCCAAAUAGGACGAAACAUACGUUCUGGAU